GCUGUUCCGAUCUGUUCCUAUGUUGUAUGUAUGAAUUUGCAUUUCGUUACUCAUUUAAUUUUCUAUUAACGCUGCUGUAAUAAAGGAGAGUCCGUUAUGGCCAUUUCUCAUCAUCAAUUAUUAUUAGUUUUCUUUUUGUUUACCAUUUUCCUUUCUGCAUAUAUCCACAUUUUAAUCAUAAUCUCCUUUUACGCUCGCACUAUGUCCUAUAUAUUGUUUUUCUUCUUCUUUUAAUUACUAUAUAUUCUCUUUUGAUGUGUGCAGUUUAGUUUUUGUUUAAUAAAAAAAUGGGGCAUCCUGGUACUGGUUCUGUUUCUGUUUAACGGGCAAUGCACUUGCCCAGCAGCUCUGCGGCUUACGUUAAUGUUAAUGUUACUCUUGUGUUGCUCUUGUGAUCUCUGUGCUGUGCUUGGUUAUAGUUCUCUAUUCGUUCUCCAUUCUGUUCUCGUUGUGGGUGCUGUAUGGUUUGUGAGUGUAUGGUGUGUAUUUAGUGUGGUGUGGUGUGUGUGUGUGUGUGUGUGAGUGUGUGUGGUGUGUUUGUUACACUUCUCGUAUA